rnacentral:misc_RNA from 1 species
GAAAUUCAAGGGAAUUACAUUACUAUAAUUCUCAAUUUGACAAGUUUAUUGAAUACAACAUAUACACUUCAAGUAAAGGGUCAUGAGUUCUUGAUUUUCUGAUUGAGAAAUGAACUGACCCUCUUCUAUCACAAAAACUUGCACAUCAAAAUGUUAUCUAGUUAAUCACUAAAAGGGGAGGAGGAGGGCACCACCAUAACAACCUCUCAUCCAAAACCCCCCACCAAAUAACCCCGAUCGACCUUCGAGUUGAAGGAGAUGAGUAAAAAUGUAUGAUACACACUAUACAUAAGAAUCAUAAACGGGAACGAGUCUGAUGAAAAUUGGAUUGGUUAGUCAAAGCUUGAUGAUCGGCUCCAUCUCCCUCGUAAAUAGUCCUCUAACGAGACAUUGUGCUCAAUGCUGCUUAUCGAGAGAGAAUCCUCUUCAACGCCGAGUAAUGCAAGGUUAAGGUGUGAACGGAGAUUAGAAUGUGAAAAGGUGUCAUCUUCCAACAUAUCGGCUCCUUCCAUGCCAUUUAUGGGUAGCUUUGUGUCGGAUCCUUCUGAACCAUUGACUUGAAACCUUGCCCACUUGGUUGUUUCAUCAUCGCCUUUGAGCAGCUUUGAAACAAUGCUCAUUUGUGGUCGAGCUCGUGGAGCACGUCUGAUACAAAGGGCAGCAGCCAGCACCAUCCUUUCUACUAGU